UUUUUAGCAGUAUGUGGAGACACAUAUGGUACCUUUAAUUUUCACACAGCAAAGAAGUAAUUCAUUUAUUAUCCACAUAUCAACAUUUUAAAGAAAUAAUGAGGCUUUGCUAAGCCCACUUGCUCUGCUAGUCACUACGUUUCCAGGGUGACAAAACAGUGUUUCCUGAGGAUUCCUUCUUCACCCAGCUGCAAAACUGAUCAUCUGGUGAAUAGGUAAUUAUGGGCUGAACUAGGAACCAUGCCGGGAUGUGAAAGUCUAGUAACCACGCAGAGUUUGCCUUGUAACUAAUGAACACUCCCUUGCCUAAUAUAACCCAACCUAAUUACCCAUAAAGCUUCGAGUAAUUUUCACUUGACCCUAAACUUUGUACAUUU
rnacentral:lncRNA from 1 species